CAAAGUUGAUCGUGUUUAUGACGUCGAAUAUCGACGUCAUAAACACCAAAGUUGAUCGUGUUUAUGAUGUCGAAUAUCGACGUCAUAAACAUCUAAG
rnacentral:miRNA from 1 species